rnacentral:rRNA from 1 species
UACGAAGGGGGCUAGCGUUGUUCGGAAUCACUGGGCGUAAAGCGCACGUAGGCGGAUCUUUAAGUCAGAGGUGAAAGCCUGGAGCUCAACUCCAGAACUGCCUUUGAUACUGGCGAUCUUGAGUCCGGGAGAGGUGAGUGGAACUGCGAGUGUAGAGGUGAAAUUCGUAGAUAUUCGCAAGAACACCAGUGGCGAAGGCGGCUCACUGGCCCGGUACUGACGCUGAGGUGCGAAAGCGUGGGGAGCAAACAGG